UAAAUCCUAGUUAUAUUGGAUAUCUCUUAUUGAUAUUUAUAUUGCAUAUGAUAAAGCAGUCACUAAUGAACAUAAUUAGAAGUUCUAAAUAUAUUAAUCAAAUAAAGUGGAUUUAUAGGUACUUCAUGAACUUUGGAAAUAUAAAAUCUAGUGAGCAAUACUAAGGAAUGAAAAAGAGAAGCUAUGGAGUAUGAAAUAAUGGUUGGUUAAGUAACAUUACCUCAAGAACAGGAAACAGUAACUGAAACUAUGUUCUUCUACAUUUAAUCUUAAUAAGUUCAGCAGUUUGAAUGUUAAUGAGACAUUAUUAUAAACAAACUGCAUUUGUAGAUUUUGGGAAGAAUUAUAUCUUUACAAUAACUAUUAU